rnacentral:rRNA from 1 species
UACGAAGGGGGCUAGCGUUGUUCGGAUUUACUGGGCGUAAAGCGCACGUAGGCGGAUUGUUAAGUCGGGGGUGAAGUCCUGGAGCUCAACUCCAGAAUUGCCUUCGAUACUGGCUUUCUAGAGGCUGGAAGAGGUUAGUGGAAUUCCCAGUGUAGAGGUGAAAUUCGUAGAUAUUGGGAAGAACACCAGUGGCGAAGGCGGCUAACUGGUCCAGAUCUGACGCUGAGGUGCGAAAGCGUGGGGAGCAAACAGG